rnacentral:rRNA from 1 species
AUUGAACGCUGGCGGCAGGCCUAACACAUGCAAGUCGAGCGGAUGAAGGGAGCUUGCUCCUGGAUUCAGCGGCGGACGGGUGAGUAAUGCCUAGGAAUCUGCCUGGUAGUGGGGGAUAACGUCCGGAAACGGGAGCUAAUACCGCAUACGUCCUGAGGGAGAAAGUGGGGGAUCUUCGGACCUCACGCUAUCAGAUGAGCCUAGGUCGGAUUAGCUAGUUGGUGGGGUAAAGGCCUACCAAGGCGACGAUCCGUAACUGGUCUGAGAGGAUGAUCAGUCACACUGGAACUGAGACACGGUCCAGACUCCUACGGGAGGCAGCAGUGGGGAAUAUUGGACAAUGGGCGAAAGCCUGAUCCAGCCAUGCCGCGUGUGUGAAGAAGGUCUUCGGAUUGUAAAGCGCUUUAAGUUGGGAGGAAGGGCAGUAAGUUAAUACCUUGCUGUUUUGACGUUACCAACAGAAUAAGCACCGGCUAACUUCGUG